UUUCCAGGUUGUUUAUUCUGUUUAUCUCUCACAUGUUCUGCUGCCCUGCCCAGCUCUGUCCUGCAGGGCAGCGUGUGGGGCUCUGCCCUCAGUGGGAUGUUACAAACAUUAAAUACCAGAAACUCCCUGUGCUAUAUUUACAAUAUAAAUGGUAAAUUUAUUUUAAAUUGUAACAUCCCUCAGUGGGACGUGACAAACAUUAAAUACCAGAAACUCCCUGGGCUGGAUUUACAAUAUAAAUGGUAAAUUUAUUUUAAAUUGUAACAUCCCUCAGUGGGAUGUGACAAACAUUCAAUACCAGAAACUCCCUGGGCUGCAUUUACAAUAUAAAUGGUAAAUUUAUUUUAAAUUGUAACAUCCCUCAGUGGGAUGUGACAAACAUUAAAUACCAGAAACUCCCUGGGCUGCAUUUACAAGAACGUGCCAAUAUCUGUCACCUACGUUGGACAGUGUGUCCCCAGCCUGAACCAACAGAAAAAUGCCAACACCACAGUGAGACAUGGAGGGCAUGAAGGAGGAGAAAAAGGACAAGGCACACCCAAUUUCCUCCAGCUUGUCCCCUUUGGAUCCCUCAUCUAGAAUCUUAAAAUUUUACUUUUGGACACGUGCCACACUUUGUUAUUACUUAUAUCAAACACUCAGAGCUUGUAAUUCAUCCUGUAAGAUUGAAAACUCUUCCAUGGACAGAGAUCAGAGACAGUGUCUAUGGGGGGUCUGUACAGGGGGGUUCCUGACCCCUGCCAGGGACCCAGGACUUCAGGGCAGCCAAAGCGACGCCCUGGACUGCCACAAUCCCCCUGCAGGUCCAUGGGGGUGCAGAGAUCCCCUGCAGAUCCAUGGGAUGCAGAGAUCCAGUGGAGAUCCAUGGGAUGCAGAGAUCCAGUGCAGGUCCAUGGGAUGCAGAAAUCCUCCUGCAGAUCCAUGGGAUGCAGAAAUCCCCUGCGGAUCCAUGGGAUGCAGAGAUCCAGUGCAGAUCCAUGGGAUGCAGAGAUCCACUGCGGAUCCAUGGGAUGCAGAGAUCCAGUGGAGAUCUAUGGGGAUGCAGAGAUCCAGUGCAGAUCCAUGGGAUGCAGAGAUCCACUGCGGAUCCAUGGGAUGCAGAGAUCCAGUGCAGAUCCAUAGGGAUGCAGAGAUCCCCUGCAGAUCCAUGGGGAUGCAGAGAUCCAGUGGAGAUCCAUGGGAUGCAGAGAUCCAGUGGAGAUCCAUGGGAUGCAGAGAUUCCAUGGGGAUGCAGAAAUCCCCUGCAGAUCCAUGGGGAUGCAGAAAUCCAGUGGAGAUCCAUGGGGAUGCAGAGAUCCAGUAUGGAUCCAUGGAAAUACAGAGAUUCCCUGCGGAUCCAUGGGAUGCAGAGAUUCCAUAGGGAUGCAGAGAUCCCCUGCAGAUCCAUGGGGAUGCAGAGAUCCAGUGGAGAUCCAUGGGAUGCAGAGAUCCAGUGCAGAUCCAUGGGAUGCAGAGAUCCAGUGCAGAUCCAUGGGGAUGCAGAGAUUCCAUGGGGAUGCAGAAAUCCUCCUGCAGAUCCAUGGGGAUGCAGAGAUCCAGUGCGGAUCCAUGGGAUGCAGAGAUCCCCUGCAGAUCCAUGGGAUGCAGAGAUCCAGUGGAGAUCCAUGGGAUGCAGAGAUCCCCUGCAGAUCCAUGGGGGUGCAGAGAUCCAGUGGAGAUCCAUGAGAUGCAGAGAUCCCCUGCAGAUCCAUGGGAUGCAGAGAUCCAGUGGAGAUCCAUGGGAUGCAGAGAUCCAGUGGAGAUCCAUGGGAUGCAGAAAUCCGCUGCAGAUCCAUGGAAAUACAGAGAUCCCGCAGCUGGGAGCGGGGAGGCGUGGGGAAAGCUGCAUUUAA
rnacentral:lncRNA from 1 species